rnacentral:rRNA from 1 species
UAGGGAAUCUUCCACAAUGGACGCAAGUCUGAUGGAGCAACGCCGCGUGAGUGAAGAAGGCUUUCGGGUCGUAAAACUCUGUUAUUGAAGAAGAACGUGUGUGACAGUAACUGGUCAUGCAGUGACGGUAUUCAAUCAGAAAGUCACGGCUAACUACGUGCCAGCAGCCGCGGUAAUACGUAGGUGGCAAGCGUUGUCCGGAUUUAUUGGGCGUAAAGCGAGUGCAGGCGGUCUUUUAAGUCUGAUGUGAAAGCCUUCGGCUUAACCGAAGAGGGGCAUCGGAAACUGGGAGACUUGAGUGCAGAAGAGGAGAGUGGAACUCCAUGUGUAGCGGUGAAAUGCGUAGAUAUAUGGAAGAACACCAGUGGCGAAGGCGGCUCUCUGGUCUGUAACUGACGCUGAGGCUCGAAAGCGUGGGUAGCAAACAGGAUUAGAU